GUCCGCACUGUAAACGAUGAUUACUCGCUGCUGGGAGGUAACUUUCAGUGGCUUAGCGAAAGCGAUAAGUAAUCCACCUGGGGAGUACGCCGGCAACGGUGAAACUCAAAGGAAUUGACGGGGGCCCGCACAAGCGGAGGAGCAUGUGGUUUAAUUCGAUGAUACGCGAGGAACCUUACCAGGGCUUGAAAGUUAGUGACCGACUCUGAAAGGAGUCUUUCAGCAAUGACACGAAACUAGGUGCUGCAUGGCUGUCGU
rnacentral:rRNA from 1 species